rnacentral:rRNA from 1 species
UACGAAGGGUGCGAGCGUUGUUCGGAAUUACUGGGCGUAAAGGGUUUGUAGGCAGAGAUAUAAGUCAAGUGUGAAAUCCCCGAGCUAAACUUGGGACGUGCAUUUGAAACUGUGUUUCUUGAGUAUCGUAGAGGGUGGUGGAAUUGUAGGUGUAGGAGUGACAUCCGUAGAGAUCUGCAGGAACAUCAGAGGCGAAAGCGACCACCUGGCCGAUGACUGACGCUGAGGAACGAAAGCGUGGGGAGCAAACAGG